rnacentral:rRNA from 1 species
GUAGGUGGCAAGCGUUGUCCGGAAUUAUUGGGCGUAAAGCGCGCGCAGGUGGUUCUUUAAGUCUGAUGUGAAAGACCCCCGGGCUCAACCGGGGAGGGUCAUUGGAAACUGGGGAACUUGAGUGCAGGAGAGGAAAGUGGAAUUCCACGUGUGGCGGUGAAAUGCGUAGAUAUGUGGAGGAACACCAGUGGCGAAGGCGACUUUCUGGCCUGUAACUGACACUGAGGCGCGAAAGCGUGGGGAGCAAACAGGAUUAGAUACCCUGGUAGUCCACGCCGUAAACGAUGAGUGCUAAGUGUUGGGGGGUUUCCGCCCCUCAGUGCUGCAGCUAACGCAUUAAGCACUCCGCCUGGGGAGUACGGUCGCAAAGACUG